GAUGAACGCUGGCGGCGUGUCUAAUACAUGCAAGUCGAGCGAACAGAUAAGGAGCUUGCUCCUUUGACGUUAGCGGCGGACGGGUGAGUAACACGUGGGUAACCUACCUAUAAGACUGGAAUAACUCCGGGAAACCGGGGCUAAUGCAGGAUAACAUGUUGAACCGCAUGGUUCUACAGUGAAAGGCGGCUUUGCUGUCACUUAUAGAUGGACCCGCGCCGUAUUAGCUAGUUGGUGAGGUAACGGCUCACCAAGGCAACGAUACGUAGCCGACCUGAGAGGGUGAUCGGCCACACUGGAACUGAGACACGGUCCAGACUCCUACGGGAGGCAGCAGUAGGGAAUCUUCCGCAAUGGGCGAAAGCCUGACGGAGCAACGCCGCGUGAGUGAUGAAGGUCUUCGGAUCGUAAAACUCUGUUAUUAGGGAAGAACAAAUGCGUAAGUAACUGUGCGCGUCUUGACGGUACCUAAUCAGAAAGCCACGGCUAACUACGUG
rnacentral:rRNA from 1 species